rnacentral:tRNA from 1 species
AGCCACCUUAGCACAGUCGGUAAUGCGUUUGAUUCGUAAUCAAAAGAUCGUGGGUUCGAUUCCCACAGGUGGCUUC